GGCGCAGCCCUUGGUUUUUCUGUCACGACUGGGUAUUUUCGACGCCCCUCACGACCCCGAUCCGCCACAUCCAAGGUUCAGGCGUCGUCAUGUACGUUAAGAUCCCCUUUAUCCACUCGUCCGCCCUCGGUAAGUCCCGGCAGCAUCACGAGACAUUCAACGCCUGACAGCUCCGCGGAGGAUCGGAAAUCCUAGUCUACUUCGAGUUAAAAUCGCUCUAUAAAGCGGGUCUCCGCACUGGCCUUUCAGCCUUGGGUCCAGGUGACGCCUCUUGCCUGCCUGAAGUGCCUGCAGUGACUUCCACAGGCUCCGAUCCUCUCUCUGUCUCUCAGCCGCGCUGUGCAAAGCUCUCACUCCCGGGGUGGAUUCUCGUCUACCACUAGGCCGUAUAUACCCGGAGGCCACAUCUUCUCUGCCUCCGGGUCGUGCAGACAUCACCCCUCUCCUGACAGCUUCCCUGUCUACAUAGCCUCAGGAAUCGGCCCCUCCCCUCCGUAGUCAUCCUUUGCACUUUGCACUCACCGCCAUGGAGUUCUCUGCCCCACGCGCUGGAAGAGGACUGUCUUUUCAAGACCAGUCUUUGCCUGAGGAAGAAACCUAGAAGAGGAGGAAGAAGAAAGAACAGGAGUCAGGCAUGGCUCUUUCUCAGGCGCAGUUGACCUUCAAGGAUGUGGCCAUUGAAUUCUCUCAGGAGGAGUGGAAUGCGUGGACCCUGCUCAGAGGGCCUUGUACAGAGAUGUGAUGGUGGAGACCCUCAGGAACCUGCUCUCCGUGGGUGAGGAUCACUUCCCUCCAGGAGUCAGGAU